AGCGGCGAACGGGUGAGUAACACGUAAACAAUUUCCCCUUGAGUUGGGAAUAACCAUUCUAACGGAUGGCUAAUACCGAAUAGUGUUUUCAAUUGCAUAAUUGAAUUACGAAAGAUGUGCAAAUGUCGCUCAAGGAUAAGUUUGCGUCCCAUUAGUUUGUUGGCGGGGUAACGGCCCACCAAGACUACGAUGGGUAGCCGGCCUGAGAGGGUGAACGGCCACAUUGGGACUGAGAUACGGCCCAGACUCC
rnacentral:rRNA from 1 species